rnacentral:rRNA from 1 species
UGUGACUAUACGUUUAACGGCCGCGGUAUCCUGACCGUGCAAAGGUAGCGCAAUCACUUGUCUUUUAAAUGGAGACCUGUAUGAAUGGCAUAACGAGGGCUUGACUGUCUCCUUUUCCAAGUCAAUGAAAUUGAUCUCCCCGUGCAGAAGCGGGGAUAAAAAUAUAAGACGAGAAGACCCUAUGGAGCUUUAGACACCAACGCAGAUCACGCUACUUACCCCGAAUAAAGAAUAAAGCCAAACUGACUCCUGCCCUAAUGUCUUUGGUUGGGGCGACCGCGGGGAAAUAGAGAACCCCCACGUGGAAUAGGAUUAUUUUCCUUAAAUCAAGAGCUACCGCUCUAAAUCAACAGAAAUUCUGACCAAACUAGAUCCGGCAAAGCCGAUCAACGGACCGAGUUACCCUAGGGAUAACAGCGCAAUCCCCUUUCAGAGCCCAUAUCGACAAGGGGGUUUACGACCUCGAUGUUGGAUCAGGACAUCCUAAUGGUGCAGCCGCUAUUAAGGGUUCG